rnacentral:rRNA from 1 species
UACGGAGGGAGCUAGCGUUGUUCGGAAUUACUGGGCGUAAAGCGCGCGUAGGCGGCUUUGUAAGUUAGAGGUGAAAGCCCGGGGCUCAACCCCGGAACUGCCUUUAAGACUGCAUCGCUUGAAUCCGGGAGAGGUGAGUGGAAUUCCGAGUGUAGAGGUGAAAUUCGUAGAUAUUCGGAAGAACACCAGUGGCGAAGGCGGCUCACUGGACCGGUAUUGACGCUGAGGUGCGAAAGCCAGGGGAGCAAACGGG